rnacentral:lncRNA from 1 species
UAGAGGCACCCUUGUAUAUUUCAUCUAUUAUGUCGAUGAUGUAAAUGUAAAAUGUAAAUGUAAUAAAAUCAUGUGAGAGGUGAAAAUGUAUUAAGUUCAUUUAAGAGAUGAGGUUGUAAAUUGAGAUGAAUGAAUGUAAAGAAAUUGUAUAAGCUUUGUAUUUGAUUGAAAGUGAUCAAUAUACAAUGUAUAAAUGUAAUAGUUAGAUUG